rnacentral:rRNA from 1 species
GACGAACGCUGGCGGCGUGCCUAAUACAUGCAAGUCGAGCGCAGGAAACCGUCUGAACCCUUCGGGGGGACGACGGUGGAAUGAGCGGCGGACGGGUUAGUAACACGUAAAGAACCUGCCCAUAGGUCUGGGAUAACCACGAGAAAUCGGGGCUAAUGCCGGAUGGGUCAUCGGACCGCAUGGGCCGCUGAUGAAAGGCGCUUCGGCGGCGCCCAUGGAUGGCUUUGCGGUGCAUUAGCUAGCUGGUGGGGUAAUGGCCCACCAAGGCGACGAUGCAUAGCCGACCCGAGAGGGUGAUCGGCCACACUGGGACUGAGACACGGCCCAGACUCCUACGGGAGGCAGCAGUAGGGAAUCUUCCACAAUGGACGAAAGUCUGAUGGAGCAACGCCGCGUGAACGAUGAAGGCUUUCGGGUCGUAAAGUACUGUUGUAAGGGAAGAACAAGUGCCGCAGGCAAUGGCGGCACCUUGACGGUACCUUGCGAGAAAGCCACGGCUAACUACGUGCCAGCCGCCGCCGUAA